CCACCUGCCUAAGGGGCCUCAGCUGGCUUAGGCAAUCUUCCUAGAAUGAAGCAAAACUCACUGAGUGGCUGGAAAUAAAGUGGCAGGAAGAAAAAUUGAGGGGUGGAGGAUAUGGAGAGGUGAUGGUUGUGGGGAGAGUGAGGAUUCUUCCAAGAAGACUUUGAGAAACAUAUCCAAGCUGCAGUAGAGUCUGUUGAUCCUGGGCCAGCCUCAGAAGCCGUUUCGGAUACACAUAUAACACAAUCAUUGAAGACAAUCAUCCUCAAUUGAGGGAUUCCUGAAGAGAGUGGUGAGAGUGCCAGUCUUUGAUUUGUAUUCAACCUCCCCUCCAUCAUCAUCUAAGGCUUCUGUGUAACCUUAAGCAAACCAGUGAUACUUGAUGAUAGGUCUUCAGUCCUGUGCAUCUUUAAUACAACUUGUGAAGUUAAAUCAUAAUCAAGAGACCAUGUAGCCGAGCAGAAAUGCCUAUGCUGGAGAGAGAGGCCACAUUCUCAGUACCUUGGAGUUAAUCCAGAAUGGCUGACAUAAGUAUGUGGCUUUGUGUUAAUUUUAAUUUCUCCAAAAUCUUGAGAAGUCCUUUUGUGUAAUAAUCUUGCAUAAAUAUAAAGUUAUAUCAUUUUGCUCUGUUAAGACCUUUUUUGGAUGAUUGUUCAGGUAAAGCAGGUUAUAUUAAAACAUGUUAAGAAAUUGACUCUUCAUAAAGGUAGAGUGCCCCUGCUUCCAUAAUUUUGGAUGAGUUUAUGUAAACAGGCAACUUGUAUGGCAGCAUUGUACUGUGCAAAUUCAAAAUGUCUUAUCAUUCACUGAGAAGUACAAUCUGUGCUACACAAAACUAUUUGUACCCUUUAAAAAUAAACUAACA